CGUCCUGAAAGAUCUCGAUCCAUUGUGUGUUUCUUCCGCAAUAAAAACAAACCGCGAGUGAGAGUUUUUGAUUUAACUGAUAAACAUCAUUUCCAUUCCAACCUCACUGCUCAUCCAUCGCUCCGAUUAUUGGAUCGAUCUUCUUUUUCUCUUUUUUUUUUUUUCUUCUUCUUCCUUUUUGUUUUUCUAAUUUCUUUCUUUUGAUUCAUCUGUUCAUAUCGAUUUCCCGUCGUCUUCUUCUUUCUGAAGAAUGGUUGCGACGGUCACCGUCGUCGCCGACUCGCGGCACUGUUUGAUUUGUCUUUCAGAAGCUUUUGAUUACGUGUUGUCGGCACUGUUACCGACGUCCUGCAUGGAGGAGAGAGAAUUCAGUUUCUUUUUUCCUUUUUUUUUUGGUUUAUUUAAUUGCUUAUUUAUUUCCUACUGAACCUAAAAACCCUAAUUAAUUUCCAUUAUCUUCACAAAAUGUAUGUUCCUUCAUCAAAUAUUGUGUUCAUGAUUUGAAUUUUGAGCGGCGUUGUGCUGUUUCAUACUCUGGAUCUGGUUCAUAUCGUCUUCUUCAUCAUUAUCGGAUGAUUCCGAUCUCUCUCUCUCCCGUCUCGCUCUGCGGAUUUCUAUGUGUAUACGCGGUUUUUUUUUUUUGUCUCCGUUAUACAUGUGAAAGAUUCUUUACUGAAAAUUAUUUGUUUAUCGUUCUUGAAUUUGGUUAGUUUUUCACUGUCCCUUGGAUAAUUUGACAGAAGAGAGUGAGCACCCAGAGGCAGUUGCUAUAAAGUGUAUAUCAAUACUUUUGCGUGCUCACUUCUCUCUCUGUCAGAUUCGUUAAACGGAUCCAGUUUCAUAAUUCUUCUCCAUCGAUUUUUUCGGUUUUAGUUUUGAUAUUCUUUUAUGGAUUAACGAAAUGGUUAUUGGACUCCGAAUUGUAUGAAUUGUAUUUCUGCAGUAUUGUUUCUUUAGAAGCGUUGCUUUUCAUGUUGCUCACUGGCCGGUGUUAUGGCCACGAUCGUGAGAGAAUACUGAACAACGGGACCUCUCUCAAGCCUACAUCGUAUAGGCCGGUCCUCUCCUAAUCGGCAGAUCAAGUUCAAAGCAGUGGAGGAAGAAAUUGACAAAGUAUGUAGUUCUGAGUAGGGAUCAAUACGCAGAGCCUAGAGAUGGCAUGGUCCGAAAUUUUGUUUCAACUUCAGAAGAUGGUUCUUUCCAACCUGAACCUGCCCAUUGAACGUGGAGAUCCUAAUCCAUUAUUUUGUGUUUAUUCAAAGACUGGCCUUGUGCACAUAUAAAGGUGAACUGUGAAUGAAUCUUUUGCCUUCCCCUUGGUGGGGCGUCCGUACAGAAACGACCGGCUCAAAAAUGAUGGAAUCAGAAACCUUGAGAUAAGAGCUUAACACAGUUGAUCUCCGUUGGUUGGAUCACCAAUUUCUGUGUUGUACAAUAGCGAAGUAAACAUUUAUUAUGGUUUAUAUAUAAACAUGUUUUUGAUUCCUUAAACAAUCAUAUCGGUCUUCUUCACUUUCAAUCGGACUCUUGGAUGGCAAGGCAGCACAUAUAAUAGAAGUUCGAUUGCCAAUUUCUCAGUGCAGCAACGGUCGAAUGUAUCAGGAAAAUUGCUGGUGAUUUUUUCGGGAAUAGCUCCGUUGCACUUUUUAUGAAAAGUAUGAAAUCAAAUAUUUAAUUAGUUUUUUUUUAUUGCUAUUUCUGCAUACCAAUCAUCAAGGUGACUUUUUAUUUACUUAUUUUGGUGGUUCAAGAAUUGUAUUUCUAUGGAGUACUCCACAACAAUACAAAAAUUGAUUAAAUCGAUGGAGGAUUUUAGAUUGGUAGAAA